UACAGAGGCCCCGAGCGUUAGGCGGAAUCACUGGGCUUAAAGCGUGUGUAGGUGGAUGCCUAAGUACCUUGUGAAAUCCCACGGCUUAACCGUGGAAUUGCUGGGUAUACGUGGUGUCUUGAGCCACUCAGGGGCUACCGGAACAAAUGGUGGAGCGGUGAAAUGCGUAGAUAUCAUUUGGAACGCCAAUGGUGAAAACAGGUAGCUGGGGGUGUGCUGACACUGAGACACGAAAGCCAGGGGAGCAAACGGG
rnacentral:rRNA from 1 species